AAUCAAUGAGGAGGACACCUUUUCAAGAGGUCCUUCAAUCUCUCCUAUGUAUCAUAAAGUGCCUCAAGAUCAAAUUGAACAAAAGAAUAGAUGUCAUUCCUCAACUU
rfam:Gossypium raimondii Chr11_contig_629, whole genome shotgun sequence.